rnacentral:piRNA from 1 species
UGGGAGUUCAAUGUCUAGAGACUAGUCCC